ACAUUUCUAGCUUGCUAGAAGAUGACGAGCGGCGGACGGGUGAGUAAUACUUAGGAAUCUACCUAGUAGUGGGGGAUAGCACGGGGAAACUCGUAUUAAUACCGCAUACGACCUACGGGAGAAAGGGGGCAGUUUACUGCUCUCGCUAUUAGAUGAGCCUAAGUCGGAUUAGCUAGAUGGUGGGGUAAAGGCCUACCAUGGCGACGAUCUGUAGCUGGUCUGAGAGGAUGAUCAGCCACACCGGGACUGAGACACGGCCCGGACUCCUACGGGAGGCAGCAGUGGGGAAUAUUGGACAAUGGGGGAAACCCUGAUCCAGCCAUGCCGCGUGUGUGAAGAAGGCCUUUUGGUUGUAAAGCACUUUAAGCAGUGAAGAAGACUCUGUGGUUAAUACCCACAGACGAUGACAUUAGCUGCAGAAUAAGCACCGGCUAACUCUGUGCCAGCAGCCGCGGUAAUACAGAGGGUGCAAGCGUUAAUCGGAAUUACUGGGCGUAAAGGGAGCGUAGGUGGCUCGAUAAGUCAGAUGUGAAAUCCCCGGGCUCAACCUGGGAACUGCAUCUGAUACUGUCGUGCUAGAGUAUGUGAGAGGAAGGUAGAAUUCCAGGUGUAGCGGUGAAAUGCGUAGAGAUCUGGAGGAAUACCGAUGGCGAAGGCAGCCUUCUGGCAUAAUACUGACACUGAGGCUCGAAAGCGUGGGUAGCAAACAGGAUUAGAUACCCUGGUAGUCCACGCCGUAAACGAUGUCUACUAGUCGUUGGGUCCCUUGAGGACUUAGUGACGCAGCUAACGCAAUAAGUAGACCGCCUGGGGAGUACGGCCGCAAGGUUAAAACUCAAAUGAAUUGACGGGGGCCCGCACAAGCGGUGGAGCAUGUGGUUUAAUUCGAUGCAACGCGAAGAACCUUACCUGGUCUUGACAUAUCUAGAAUCCUGCAGAGAUGCGGGAGUGCCUUCGGGAAUUAGAAUACAGGUGC
rnacentral:rRNA from 1 species